rnacentral:rRNA from 1 species
GAUGAACGCUGGCGGCGUGCCUAAUACAUGCGAGUCGAGCGAACGGACGAGAAGCUUGCUUCUCUGAUGUUGGCGGCGGACGGGUGAGUAACACGUGGAUAACCUACCUAUAAGACUGGGAUAACUUCGGGAAACCGGAGCUAAUACCGGAUAAUAUUUUGAACCGCAUGGUUCAAAAGUGAAAGACGGUCUUGCUGUCACUUAUAGAUGGAUCCGCGCUGCAUUAGCUAGUUGGUAAGGUAACGGCUUACCAAGGCAACGAUGCAUAGCCGACCUGAGAGGGUGAUCGGCCACACUGGAACUGAGACACGGUCCAGACUCCUACGGGAGGCAGCAGUAGGGAAUCUUCCGCAAUGGGCGAAAGCCUGACGGAGCAACGCCGCGUGAGUGAUGAAGGUCUUCGGAUCGUAAAACUCUGUUAUUAGGGAAGAACAUAUGUGUAAGUAACUGUGCACAUCUUGACGGUACCUAAUCAGAAAGCCACGGCUAACUACGUG